rnacentral:misc_RNA from 1 species
GAUGAAGAACGUAGUGAAAUGCGAUAAGUAAUGUGAAUUGCAGAAUUCAGUGAAUCAUCGAAUCUUUGAACGCAUCUUGCGCUCCUUGGUAUUCUGAGGAGCAUGCCUGUUUGAGUGUCAUUAAAUUCUCAACUACACUGACUUUGAAUUGGUGUGGCUUGGAUUUGGGGGGAAAAUUGUUGUGGGCUUUUUGUAUAGUCUGCUCCCCUGAAAUUGAUUAGCGGUACCUUUGUGGAACUGUCUACAGGUGUGAUAAUUAUCUACAUCUGCUGGAAUGCUGCUUUCUAAACCUUACUUGUAUUGACAAUCUUGACCUCAGAUCAGGUAGGACUACCCGCUGAACUUAAGCAUAUCAAUAAGCGGAGGA